rnacentral:rRNA from 1 species
UACAGAGGUCUCAAGCGUUGUUCGGAUUCAUUGGGCGUAAAGAGCUCGUAGGCGGUCUGUUGCGUCUGCUGUGAAAACCCGGGGCUUAACCCCGGGAGGCGGGUGGAUACUGUCAAGCUCGAGUCCGGAAGAGGAGUGUGGAAUUCCUGGUGUAGCGGUGAAAUGCGCAGAUAUCAGGAGGAACACCAAUGGCGAAGGCAGCACUCUGGGACGUGACUGACGCUGAGACGCGAAAGCGUGGGGAGCAAACAGG